GAAUGUGCACCUACCUGGCGAUCCUUCGUUGUCGUAGCCUAUCAGGCCAUACGGCAAAUACUCCUUCAGAGCCUUUGGAGGAUCCCACUUAUCGAUGUUGUCCACAUUCCACAUGGCUCGUGUCUUCAGGCUCUGCAUUGAUUUAGCUCUUAGCAUUUUCUCUGCUGCCUCCAAGUUCCAUUUGCGGGCUGUUUAAAAGAAUGUUUGGAAUGGUAAGCAAGGAUCUCCAAUAAGGAUUCUCGUGGGCAGACUCACCUCUUAGCCAGCGCAGUAGGAAGUAAUCAUCAUGACUGUCGACGAGCGCAUCGUCCAUCUGCUUGCGGAACUAUAAUUGAAUGAAAAGCGUUGCAAGGAUCAGUGCUUGUCUCCCAAAGGAUGUGAUUAUAUCGAGUCCUAUCUGUAAUCCUGAUUGUAUAUACAAGUCCUAUUGACUCAAAUAAACAUUGUAUAAGCAAAA